rnacentral:rRNA from 1 species
UACGUAGGGGGCAAGCGUUAUCCGGAAUUACUGGGUGUAAAGGGAGCGUAGACGGUAAUGUAAGUCUGGAGUGAAAGGCGGGGGCCCAACCCCCGGACUGCUCUGGAAACUAUGUUACUAGAGUGCAGGAGAGGUAAGCGGAAUUCCUAGUGUAGCGGUGAAAUGCGUAGAUAUUAGGAGGAACACCAGUGGCGAAGGCGGCUUUCUGGACUGAAACUGACGCUGAGGCACGAAAGCGUGGGGAGCGAACAGG